rnacentral:rRNA from 1 species
AGUGGGGAAUAUUGCACAAUGGACGAAAGUCUGAUGCAGCAACGCCGCGUGGAGGAUGACACAUUUCGGUGCGUAAACUCCUUUUAUAUGAGAAGAUAAUGACGGUAUCAUAUGAAUAAGCACCGGCUAACUCCGUGCCAGCAGCCGCGGUAAUACGGAGGGUGCAAGCGUUAUUCGGAAUCACUGGGCGUAAAGGGUGCGUAGGCGGUUUGAUAAGUCUGAUGUGAAAUCCUAUGGCUCAACCAUAGAACUGCAUUGGAAACUGUCAAACUAGAAUACUGAAGGGGCAGAUGGAAUUAGUGGUGUAGGGGUAAAAUCCGUAGAUAUCACUAGGAAUACCGAAAGCGAAAGCGAUCUGCUGGGAAGUUAUUGACGCUGAGGCACGAAAGCGUGGGGAGCAAACGGGAUUAGAUACCCCGGUAGUCCACGCCCUAAACGAUGAAUGCUAGUCGUCGGAAAGCUCGUCUUUUCGGUGAUGCAGUUAACACAUUAAGCAUUCCGCCUGGGGAGUACGGUCGCAAGAUUAAAACUCAAAGGAAUAGACGGGGACCCGCACAAGUGGUGGAGCAUGUGGUUUAAUUCGAAGAUACGCGAAGAACCUUACCAAGCCUUGACAUUGAUUGAAUCUGGUAGAGAUACCGGAGUGCUAGUUUACUAGAACAUGAAAACAGGUGCUGCACGGCUGUCGUCAGCUCGUGUCGUGAGAUGUUGGGUUAAGUCCCGCAACGAGCGCAACCCUCGUCGUUAGUUGCUAACAGUUCGGCUGAGCACUCUAGCGAGACUGCCUUCGCAAGGAGGAGGAAGGUGAGGACGACGUCAAGUCAUCAUGGCCCUUAUGGCUUGGGCUACACACGUGCUACAAUGGGGCGUACAGAGAGUUGCGAUACCGCGAGGUGGAGCUAAUCUCAUAAAGCGUCUCUCAGUUCGGAUUGGACUCUGCAACUCGAGUCCAUGAAGCUGGAAUCACUAGUAAUCGUAGAUCAGCAAUGCUACGGUGAAUACGU